CGACCACUUUGGGAAAUCUGGCAAUCACCGCUCUCUACAAGCUCUUCUUUGGCUUCUCUCUUCUCACUCUUCUUGUUCUUAUCCGUACCAGGCAGACAGCUCCUCUUUGUUCUCAACUUUGCGGUUUAUAGAUUUUACACCUUCUUCAGAGAAGUGGCUGGUUGGACCUGCUUUGGAUUUCGAUAUGAAAAGGUUACGGGUUGCGGCUAAGACAGACCCAAACAGAGAAGGGUGAUUGCUCGAGCACCCAUUGACUUGAAAUUCUAGGUCCGCCACUGGUCCGACUCUUGAAUCUUUUUGUGCUUAUUUUCUCUUCCACUGGAAACACGAGGUAACACCCAAAGUUUGAAUUCAAUUCAAACAUAGAACAAAAUGGUGCUCCAUUAUAGCACUUAUUCGUACUCUCUUAGCUUUCUUUUAAUUGUAUUUUGCAAAAUCCUGCAACUUGAGUCAAUGCGCAUCGUAUAUUAGUUCUCUGGUUCCUAAUUUUUUCUUCUUUUAUACUUUAUUAUCUUUCAAAGAAAAGCUUCGUGAAAAAAUGCACGUCUUUAAACUGUAAAGUCAUCUAUUUGUUAUUUUACAUGAUCAUCCGAUACUUGGGUCGCACAAAUGAACGGUAGAAAUUAAACAAUUUAUCAGCUAUAAAGAAUUUAUCAGGAAUUCACAGAUAUAUGACCAAUUUGUAAGUCCUUUUAUUUCUCCCAGUGAUUUUUCCUUCCUGAAUGAGAACUAUACAAUGUAUGAUAAAAUUAUAUGCAUAGAAACACGAUAAUUUACAUCUGUUGCUAAUGCUAUUCAAUAUUGCUAAUUCUCUGUAUUGCUUGGCCAAUAUGUGGAGUUCAUUUUCAUCAUAUGGGGAGUGACUGUUUCGUUUCUCUUAUCGAUCUUAGAUUUCUCAAAGUUCUCUAUCUCCAAACAGUUCUCCUCUUACUCCUCUGAUCUUAAUGUUGCUACUGAAUUUUUCUUUCUGGAUCAUUAUUUUCUGGUGGGUAUUCUUCUUUUUAGCUUUUGUUUCUUCUAUCAUCUGUUUUAUCUUCGAUGACAUGUUAGGAAUUUGUGUUUUCUUAUGAGGUCUUAGGGCUAUCGGGCACAGAAACUUUAACAUGCGAAGAGCUUUUGUAACUUAGGUGUUUGAGAAAUUUAUUCGAAGUAGGCUUUCUAUUAUAUUUCUUAUGCAUCUCACUGCUUUCUCCCUUCUCUGGUAUUAUUUCAUGGUUCUUUUGACAAGGAUUAUGUUGUAAAAACUAGCUUUGAACAUUACAUAGAGACUGAAGUAUUACUUUCUCUCAAUGCCAAAACGCAUCAAAAUCUCCAUCCAGCAAGUUUUUUUUAUCUCUGUGUUCUUCAGUUGUUGCUUCGAUUUUUUGUGCCUAUCAAUAUUUGAUUUUCUUUCACCGUUCAUUAAUGAUUUGAGGUGAGCUCCUUGCUUGUUCUUUUUGUUUCUUUUUUCAGUUAUUUCUGUUUACCUUAUGAUUCUAGGUGCUUCGUUGUCUCUACUUAUAAGAGAGAAACAAAGAGAAGUUUUCUUUUUUACAUACAAAAGAAGUUACUGAAACAGUUUGGAUCCAUGCUUGUGAAAACUGGGAAUCUAAUUUGACCUCUUUGUCACACAGGGUCAUUCAACAGUUUCAUUUCUUUUGGAUGAAUCACUGAUCUUUAUUUUGGUUAGCUUGACUGCAGGUAGAGAGAUUCUUUACCGGAAAUACUGUAAAAUAAAAUCGCAUAUUUAGGUAUCCCAUGUAAUUAAUUAGACUUCUAAUUUUUUCUUAAUGUGAACCACAUAAUAUUUAGGAGGCGCUUCAUUAUUGUUCCGGGAUCUUCAAAUAAGGCCUGCCAAUUAAUGUUUACACUUUACACUGUUUGUAAACUUCUAAAUUUCCUUUAAAUGUUUUCCCUUCAUUUGAUACGUCUUUGACUUUGACAGUUAAUGCCAUGCUUUACUUAUUAGGAGAUUGGUUACUGUUGUAAUAUUUUCGCUUGGCUUGAAAAUUUGUGUUUAAUUUUAAUAUGCUCGGUAGCUUUUAGUUGAUUUUGAAGUAGUUCACCAAGAUGACAAAAGAAACAAAAUAAAUAUGCAUUUGAAGAGGUGCUGAGAUCCACUCAGGUAAACUGGUUUUAUGUGUCUUAAAAACCUGUAUGUUUUACCAAGCUCUUCUUUUUAUCAGUUUGAGAUUGUGUAUGAAUGUUACUAUGAUUUGUUAUACUUGAAAGCGAUUGUUCUUGCCCAUUGGAUGAAGAGGAGCUAAAGGCCAAAAAGUUUUCAAGGCAUCUGAUGAUAACAUAUGAUAAGGUGGGGAAUUACACUGGUAAAAUAUUACAAACCAGCAGAUGCAACCAAUUAUACACCUAUUUCAUGUUGCAAUUACAUGUGGAGAUGACAUAAUAGUUACUGGCUUGAAGAUGUAUAUUGGUGUUUCGGAUAUAACAAGAGUGGCAACUGAGAUGGGCACUGUAGUUGAUUGUCGAAAGGGAAUGAUGGGUUAAAUGUGCUUGUGCUGAAAAUACAAAUUUUCUAUAUUCUUGUGGCUAUUACAUCAAUAGUAUUUAGCUGUAAUCAGUACCUAUGGUUAUCCGGAUAGCAGUAGCAUUGUAGAGUGUUUUACGUCCUCUUUUGCAGAUAUUGUACUAUCAUACAUACUAUUUAUAUGAUGGAUGAAAAGCCUACUGGUUAUGAUAGUCCAUA